AAGGCAGAUUAUAAAUUCAAGAAUUGUAAUAACUGUAGUUUGAUAGCCAUUCCUGCCUAUAAUUUAUUUAUAUAUUUUAUUUUGCUUACACGAGAUUUUAAAAUCCCAAAGUGAAAAGACAAAUCACUUUAAAUAGCCAGUGAUUUGCUAAGGCUCUAUAGUUUCAGGAGUCCCAUUAACUGAAAUGCUCCAGACACUCUGGAGAACAGUAGGGAAUGAUUUUAAAGAUAGAAUCCCUAACAUCUUGUAACUGCUCCUGUUCCUUAAUAACUGCGCUGGUUGGGAGUGACUCCGUUCCAGAGUCCUGAAGAGUGGAUUUCAAGAUAAAUUUGGUCCUGAUCAUCCUUCCUUUCUACACAGCCUUAGACAAGAGGUCAGAAGAGGGCUUCGGAUCCACUGGCGCUGAACUGAUACAUGCUUCUGAGCCUUGAUAUGGGCGCUGGGAACUGAACCUGGGUCCUCUACAAGAACAAUGGACUUUAAGGAAGGAUCUGAACGCCAGCCAGUGCCGCAUGAUGCUCCUGAGAUCUUCCAUUCUUCCAAGAACAACCAUAGCAUAUACAAGACAGCACACCACCGUCGCCACCGCCAGUGCCGCUGUACUGGUGGGAUACAUACACUUUCCAGCUUGUGAAUCGGGAGGCACACUUUCAAACAAAAACACUCUGUACAGCCUCAAGAGAAGGCUGCCUGCAACUGCUAGAGGUGGAGACACCACACAUGCUAUCGCAGUCCUUGGGUAAUAACUGUGUGUCAUAAAUAGGAUGUGGCAUUUCAGAAUGUCUUUAAAGCUAUUUCCUUUUGUUCAACUAAUUUAAUUUACCAAAUGCUCCUGGGGAAAGGGAGGGGGAUCAAGAUGCUGACUCCACAUUUCCUGGGGGGGGGGGGGGAGAAUCACCAU